GACCGCUCUGGUGGCCUAGUUGUCAGAGUGUCCGCCUCGGAUGAGGUAGCUCGUGGGUUCGAACCCCAGUCGAGUCA